rnacentral:lncRNA from 1 species
UUUCGUCAACCCUAACAACAUCGUUUUUAGGAUAUUCCCAUGUCUUUCCAUUCAACAUCUCCAUUUUCACACGCAAUCUCAAUUGGUCGACAAAAUUGAUCCGUCUCACAACCACACUUACCGAAGUAAGCCGCCUCAUCGGAAAACCUGGGCUUUCAGCAUCGGAGUUCACUUAAGGAUAGAAGUUGGAUUAACAUCUAGGAAAAGGAACGGUUGCUCAAAGACACCUUUACUCAGAUGGAAGUUUGACGAAGAUAAGAACAACGAUGCUUCUACUAAAGAGG